UCCACGUAAAAAUAGCUUUCUAUGUUCUUGUUACCAACAACAAGCGAUUUUUCCUCUAUCUAGCGAUCUGCCUCAAGGCUGCGUCCCGCACAGGCUGGACACGGCGGAUCGGCCUCGUCGUGAGUAUCACCGGCUGGAGACAGGGGACCGGCGUCGUCGUGUGCCACCAACCGACUCUCUCUCUCUCUCUCUCUCUCUCUCUCUCUCUCUCUCUCUCUCUCUCUCUCUCUCUCUCCAUGGAUGUUUCCACGUCCAGAAUUUUUGUCAUGUCGCCGCCAUAGAUCCAUGUUGUUGCCAUAGAUCGGAAGCAAGUGAGUGCCGGCGUCGCGUGGCACCAUCCGCCGUCUCGUGCGGCAGGACGUCGCUAGCUGACUCAGAUGAUGAAUAGGCUAUAAGCACCGUCUGGGAGUAGCCUGUUGAGGCGAGCACCUGCGAGUGAUUGACACCGUUGAUGACGGCUCAGGGUUAAUUAGACGCAGCGACGUACGGCGACUGCAUGAUGACGGCGGCGGAUGUCACCGAGGUGCAACGGCGGCCAACGGGAGACUCCGUGACUGCUCUAGCAUGACGGCGGCCACGAUGACAUGCGGUUUACGCAGCGGACAGGAUAGCGCUCCAGCAGCAAGAGAACGGUGUAGCAGCAGCCGCGCGACAUAGUAUGACAAAUCGUCGACGGGUGAUUGCUCCAGUGCGGCGGCUGCUACAAAGUAUGGCUGUAUAGGAUCUGC